GUGCUCACUUCAGCAGCACACAUGCUAAAACUGGAACGAUACAGAGAAGAUUAACAUGGCCCCUGCGCAAGGAUGAUGUGUACGUUUGUGAAGCGUUCCACAUUUUU
rnacentral:snRNA from 1 species